GGGCUUGUAGCUCAGUUGGUUAGAGCGCACCCCUGAUAAGGGUGAGGUCGGAAGUUCGAGUCUUCCCAGGCCCACCA
rnacentral:tRNA from 1 species